CUGCGGGGAAGCGGGGAGCCUCCACCGAGGAGUCAGAAGUGAAGUUUGCCAUCUCUGAAAGUAGCCAGCCAGGUCCGAGUGCGCAGUUCCCGGCUCCCCUGGAUGUCGCUGCGCGCUUGAAACGGAAAUGAAAACAGCUUUUUUUUUCCUAGUUGGAAGAUUAAAAUUUUUAAGAGAAGGUUUGUCCUGUGGAAACUGAAUUUGAUCAAAAGCCAGAAGGGUUCUGCUCCCCUCCCACUGAGCCCAUCUCAGACAAAGGAGAAAAAGGCCCAGGUGAGAACCUGCUGCGUGGGAAAUAGCGCACAGAAUGCCUAAUGUUUACUUGGAUAGAAGAUUCAAAGUUAUGACUGAAAGUGUUGGAAGCCCACAGCGUCCCUGAGCUCCUGUCCAUCAUAAAAGUGGGGGCAGGGAGUAAAACAGGACAAAGCAGCUGUGUGUUCCCUGUGUUCUGCACACAUGACAGAUGCAGGAGCUGUCACUUUGACAGGAAACAAGGUCCAGAGCACCCAGUGUGCUUCACUGGCUGAGUGCAGGCCGUCCGUGUUCAGCUUUUCCUUGUGCCCUCGUAGUGUGCUGCAGGGCAUUGGUGAGGAGGAGGCGUGUCCACAUCAAACUAGGCUCUGGUUCCUAUUGUGACUUGAUGCUUUCCCGUCUUCAGCUGGAUUUCCAAAACCCGAAAAGGAGAAUUGAUCUGAAUCAGGAAAAGUCUCAGAUUCCCUUGUGGAGCUGGCCCACCACUCUCUACCCGUUGCCUUGAGAGCACUCCUUCGCUUGAUAGCACCUGAGAGAACUGUCCCAAAUAAGGAGUGGCUUGGACCUCGGAAGCUUCCGCCCACAGUUGCUUCGCCCUAUUGUUUCAGGCCUGUCUUACAGACCUGCCAUUGUGUGCUGAACACACAGCCAGCUGCCAGCUGUCCAGUAGUCUUAAGUCCAUCAUAAAAAUUAAAUUACACAGAUGAAUAAUUGAGAAAGGUAUGUUAAGAGCAAAGGUAAUAAAGGCUAGGAGCCCAUGAUUCCUAA